rnacentral:rRNA from 1 species
GCGUUGUUCGGAAUCACUGGGCGUAAAGCGCACGUAGGCGGAUCGUUAAGUCAGGGGUGAAAUCCCGAGGCUCAACCUCGGAACUGCCCUUGAUACUGGCGAUCUUCGAGUCCGGGAGAGGUGAGUGGAACUCCGAGUGUAGAGGUGAAAUUCGUAGAUAUUCGGAAGAACACCAGUGGCGAAGGCGGCUCACUGGCCCGGUACUGACGCUGAGGUGCGAAAGCGU